AUUUCUUAAGUAGGUUUUGUGGAUGACAAUAAUUUGGGAUCUUCUCAUGUAAGGAUCUGGCAAAGGAAGAAAAAAUAUCAUGAGGAAUACUAAGCACCCCUCUUCCUAGUGAGUUACACCAGUGCUCAUGUUUUGUUUUUCAAAUCAGCAAUUAGUGGAGUGACACCUCCUGGCUGAACUGAACUAAAGGUAGCAGUGACAUAAAAAGCCUUCUGCCCUAACUCUGUUUGAAUGGUUUUCAGCUUAGGAGAGGCCAAAAGGUGUUACCACCUGAUGGCUGUUCGAUGGCGUGUGUGAAAUGGCUCCUAAGGGUCCCAGUUUAAUUUCCUAACCUCCCUCUGCAGCACAUUUCUCACAACAUCGUUACACUCCAGGAAGGUCUAAGUGGAUAAUUUGUAAUGUAUAAUGUGCUCGUGUUCUGGCUUUUCCCACUCAGAAGUUUUAACAAAUGAAGUAAUUUUCAUUUCUCCCCUUGUUAUUUACUGAUAACUUCUGCAAGUUAAGUGUUCUUGAGCAGUUUAUUCUGUAUGUGCAGUAUCUGGAGAGUUUCUUGUAUGCCAGCAGGGCUAAGCUCUCCAGCCUCAGCGUGAGGCGGCAGGUGGGGAAGGUGGCAGACACAUUGUGAGGCAGGAGUAGGGUAUAGCCGUUGUACCUCAACAGUCUGCUUAAUGUGGUAGGAAGCAUAGAUUAAAUCAUUUCUUCAUGAAAAGGCACCUUAAUAGUUCAUUUCCAGGACUGCAGGGAUAUUUAGGUUAUUUUUGAAGUGGAAGGAAGUCUUCAAACACAGUAACUGUUGGCCAGAUGUCCCCAAACUGAGCUGACUGUGAAGGACAGACUGGCCCCACACAUCCUCCCAGUGCUGACAGGACCAGCUGCACUCCAUCCUUAGCAAUGGCCACAGCAGGACAGCGUGCAAGGCUGAGCCCACCCAGCUUCCCUGGGGCACAGGUUUGGCUAUCUCCUUACUACCUGGUAGCUCAUUUUCACUUUAAAAUUUGCUUGCACUGAGGCCUCCUACCCCUGGCUCAAAACUUGCUUGGCACUGGCUGGUAAUACCUGUGGAAGGGAUUCUGAGAGUCAGGCAAAACAUAGCACUGACUUCUUUCUGUCCUCAGGUAGCUGGGCUGAGAGUGUUCCUGACUGGUGAUCCACUGGGGUGGGGGCUGCAGAUAUGCAUUUGCUUCUGCUCCAUCUGCUGCCGAUCCAGUCAGGGCACGAACACUUAGGAAAGAAGCAGAAUCAUUUAGAGUUUAGUAGGAGAUGGUGGCAAAUACCAACUUCUCAAUGCUAGGAAAAGACUGUCUCUGGUCAGGCCAUGGUGAACAUUAGUGGAUGUUUAGGCAUCGAAGUAAUAUGACUCCACAGAAGUAAACUGGCAUAUCAGCCCCAGUGUGUUUUGAUCUCAAUGUCUCCUUCUUGCAUGUGUGUGCUCACCAGUACACUAAAAUAGUUCGUCCUACAGCCUGGAAAGCUAGAGGGUAACCUUCCUGUCAUAGUCUUACCUGUGCUCUUCUACCCCCUAAUCUGUCCUUCCUGUGACAUCAGGGUACCUCGGGUACCUGGCCAGCAGCACAAGGUGGCUCUGGGCUGCUUUCUACAGAAUCGCCUCUCACUGACAGCAGUAAUUUGGGUGAUAGCUGAUUACAACCAAAAAGGCAUGCCAGCCAUUAGCAGUAGAUGCUAAUGUGCUACUCUGCUGGGAAGGAGGAGCAAGGUUUCCUCUAGGAGGAACACUGUCCCAGCACGUGAAGGGGUUUGUGAGAUGUCCACAGUCAGCAUGGCACGCUGACUUCAGGACACGUGCACAUCUCAGAACGUCUGCUUUUCUUGUCCCACUGGGCUGAGCAGGCAGGUUCUGUCCAUACCUGUAAAUACAGUUCUCCCUUCCUCAGAACUCAGUAGCUGUAUUUCUGCUAAUCAGUGCAUGGGACUGGGGUGAGAAGCUGCUGUGUCCAAAAACUUACCAAGUGGCUUAUUUCAUGUAUGAAAAAUAUGGUAUAGCAUAUCAUGGGCGCUAACAGGAUGCAGACGAUGAACGCUUUCAUGAAGAUACUUAUAUUUUGUCUGACCAGCGAAUCUUUGCCAUUUGCAGAUGGAAUUUUCUCUUGGGAAGUCUGCUGCUCUGAGCGCACAUGUGGGGUAGAUGAGCCAUUGGAAAAAGCUUUCUGCUUGGGUGGUGUUGCUGUUACGGUGUGAUUUGAAAUCACUGCCAGGAACACUGGAAAUGGCGAGUUGUAAAGUUAGAGAUGUGUUGUUGUUUGAACUGAAGAACUCGAAGCAGUUUCUAGAAUAACUUGCAUGCUGAAGCAGUGGACAAGAAGCGAUGGAGCACCCGGCAGUUUGCAGUACAGUACCGGAGACACAGAGCUUUCUUGCCGGUGUGCCAUUUCCCAAUGUGCAGAAUUUUCCUUCUGUAUUAAUAUUGGAAACUAUAUUUGCCAAAAUCUCCUGGCUCUCCCAAAAGAAGGGAAAACAGCAGCAUGGAGUUGUUCCAUAACGGGAACCUUUCAGUAGCGUUAACUCUGCACCAUUACUCUCUCCUUAGUUUUGAUUUUUUUUUUUUUUGUUUUUAGUGAGAAGGUACAAAUAAUUUCUUAAAUAACCACUAACAUAUCAACCAUAUGAAAGUGAAGACUGCUAUUCUUCCAUAUUCUUAAGCAGACAUUUGCUACACUAAACUUUUUACCUUUGCUUCUGAAAAUAAAUCUUCUAUGGAAGUGCCUUCUCGUGGACGUGCGUAAGACACAGGUGUGGUUGGGUGUCCCGGCUGUGCUGGGGAUGACCUGCAGGCUCUCCACAGUGCAUUCCUCCGCUACCCACUCUGUCAGAUCUCCGUGCAUCUUCUCCAGGUGCAGCAGAUUUACUUGCACAGAGCUUUGAUGACUAAAGCAUUCCAGAAAUGUGACUUUAUGGUUUCUGCUUAAUGUCCCUCUGGUUUCAGCUAUCCCAGGGGCUGGAAAAGGAUGAGAGCCAAAUGUUAGUAAAGGUUUCUCUUAGAUUAGGUGAAGUUCCUCCUGUGAGAGGUUCAAGCCAGCAUUUAGCUUCUUAUUUCCUUUGUUAUUCUGUGUGUAUGUUGGACCACCCAAUGCUCAAGCAUCAUAAUCUCUACACUCCCAAGGACAACAGUGGCACCAGCUAACCUCACAGCAGCCUAACCUGCUGUGGGCAGCUCCCUGAACUGUGGCCAGAGGCCAACCUCCUGUUCGGGGUCUGUGUUGCCUUGGGGUCUCAUGCUGGGUGGGAGCUGAGGCCCUCGGCCCCGGCACUCAGAUGCCAGGAGCUGGCUGCAGAUACCCCGCUGUAAUGAGGCAGGGGCAGCUCUAUCCAGUCCAGCUGUGCAGUAAGUCCUGCAGUAACCUUGCUUGCUUUGCUGCAAGAGUUGGCUGAAAAUGUCAGAUGUUGCUUGUAAUGAUUGCAGGCAAGUGACACCAACCCA
rnacentral:lncRNA from 1 species